rnacentral:lncRNA from 10 species
GAUUCAGUCAUGUUCUGUUUUUCUGCUGUGUUUCAGACCUUAAGUGUGUAUUACAAGUAUUCUUUGGUAUGUGUCACAUAUUGCAUAAUUUUUAAAAGAAUGAACCAAAACAUUAUAAUUAGUAGUAAUAAAGAUAAGUCUUUAUUAGUUCUAAGAAUGUGACAAGGAACAGAUCUAUUGCUUGAGAAGGUAAUUCUGAUAAACUGGUUUUCCUAAUGCUGUGGAGUUGACCCACACUGGGGUGGCUCUACCCAAGAUCACAAAUGCCGGCCCCCGUUGUUUGGAUCAGCCCUCGUGCCCUGGUCUUGAUCUUUUCUGGUCCUCCUGCAGUUUCCUUUAAUUGCCUUGAAGUUUCCAAAAGUUCGUUACACUCAUCCAUUGACUCAAUCAUCUUCAGAAUCCUAGUAUGAAGUCUUGAGGUCCACUGUAGAGAUUAUUUGUCUGCGGAGAAAUCCUACAAAGCUGUUAUUGUGAUCCUUGCCAAUGAAAGGCAAGUUUUACAUAUCUAAAUUUACUAAACACUAUCCCUUUAAAAGUAUCUCAUACCUACAAAGAUAUAACCAAAUCUAACAUUUCAGCAAACAAAAGCUGAGGCUUGUAACCAACAGAAGUAAUUGCUAUACAGUUAUCACGAGAAGUACAUGCCCAGCUUCCAGGGUAACCACAUUACUUAA